GUGGGGAAUCUUAGACAAUGGGCGCAAGCCUGAUCUAGCCAUGCCGCGUGAGCGAUGAAGGCCUUAGGAUUGUAAAAUUCUUUCACCGGGGACGAUAAUGACGGUACCCGGAGAAGAAGCUCCGGCUAACUUCGUGCCAGCAGCCGCGGUAAUACGAAGGGGGCUAGCGUUGCUCGGAAUUACUGGGCGUAAAGGGCGCGUAGGCGGACAGCUUAGUCAGAGGUGAAAGCCCAGGGCUCAACCUUGGAAUUGCCUUUGAUACUGGCUGUCUUGAGUUUGGGAGAGGUGAGUGGAACUCCGAGUGUAGAGGUGAAAUUCGUAGAUAUUCGGAAGAACACCAGUGGCGAAGGCGACUCACUGGCCCAAUACUGACGCUGAGGCGCGAAAGCGUGGGGAGCAAACAGGAUUAGAAACCCUUGUAGUCC
rnacentral:rRNA from 1 species